CCUGCAAUCAACAAAUAAAGUUACAUAGAUACUUAAACCAGACUUCAUGCAAAGAUUAAACAAAAGCCACAUCAAGAGUUAGUGUAAGUGCACACUUGAUAAUGCCAUCGUCUUCAGUUCCAUUUUUCUUGACAAGGGACUCAAUCAUCUCAGCCUUAGAAGGCUGUGUCCGAACAGAUGCUCUAUAUUUGGAUAUCAGUGGCCACUCCCUAGAACUCACCACCUAAG
rnacentral:sRNA from 1 species